GAACUCCUGCACUCGUGGUCUUAGGGGGUUUUUGCCACUGAGCUAGUGGAAACCUUAAAGUGUCACUUACUAGCACUUUAAACCUUAAAGUUUUUUCACUAACACUUUUAACCUUCAAAGUGACAUUUUUAUCAUAAAAAACCUCCAAAUAAGAAAAAUGACCGGCUCAACAGGUUAAAACCCUCCAAUGAUAAUUUCCGACAUUAUAUUUGAAAAUGAAAAAAAAAACUUUUUUGAAUUUUAAAUUUAUUUUUUUCUGUAUUUUAAUUUGAUCUUAUUUAUUUUUGAUUUUUUAGUUAUUUUAUUUAAUUUUCUAAAUCUUUAUUUAUUUUUAUCACUUUUUUUUAAUUUAUGAGUUUUUUAGUUAAUUUUUUCGAUUUUGAUUAAUUUUUUUGUUUAUUUAUUAAUUAAAUAAUUAUUUUUUGAAAAAAAAACUGUUUUUAACCUGUUCAGCCGGUCAGUUUUCUUCUUUGGAGGUUUUUAAUGAUAAAAAUGUCACUUUGAAUGUUAAAAGUGUUAGUGAAAAAACUUCAAGGUUUAAAG
rnacentral:lncRNA from 1 species